rnacentral:rRNA from 1 species
CAAUAGCGUAUAUUAACGUUGUUGCAGUUAAAAAGCUCGUAGUUGGAUUUCUGGAGGGAGCGUCGGCCCGUAUUUACGAGUGCGUGACGUCUCUGUCCAUCCUUGCGGGAAGGCACGGCAUUGAUUUGUUGUGUCGGAUCGCAUCAUUUACUGUGAAAAAAUUAGAGUGUUCAAAGCAGGCUUUCGCUUGAAUACAUUAGCAUGGAAUAAUAAGAUAGGACUUUGGUGCUGUUUUGUUGGUUGAGCCUAAAGUAAUGAUUAAUAGGGAUAGUUGGGGGCACCUGUAUUGCGUUGUCAGAGGUGAAAUUCUUGGAUUUACGCAAGACAAACAGCUGCGAAAGCGUCUGCCAAGGAUGGUUUCAUUAA